UUUAGUUCGGUACCGACCGUUAUUACGUUUACACACUUUAAGCGGGUUACACUAUACACAAAAAUAAAGUAAAUAUUUUACAGUGUUGUUCUUUAACAAAAAAAUAAAAAUAAAAUCAAACGAAAUUAAAGAAAUAAAAUAAAAUUUUGGGAAAAUUAAAGAAUAAGAAAUAAAUUUACGUAUUAAAAAACAACCAUUAUUGCCGUUUUUAAAACGUCAAACGUAAAAAGUCAUUUGUGUCUUUAUUAAAAGCGUGCUGCAGUGUUGGUUUGUGCAAGAUUGUGCAAUUAUUAAGUGUUUCAAAAUUAAAACAGUUUAAAAACAAAAUUUUGUUAAAAAUCUUUAAAAAAAAACAUAAAGCUAAAGCUCAUUACCAUCAACAAAAGCAAUCUAUAAAAGAUUUUAAAACUACAAUUUCUUGAAAGAAUUCUACAAAAUUAAAUAAACUUAAAUAAAUAACAAUUUUAAAGGAAUUUUACUAAAAUAACAUAAAAUUCUAAAGAAUUACUUAAAAAAAACAACAAUAAAUAAACGCCUAAGUAACCUAUACUCUGGCAACAACAAAAACAAACACAUGAUUCAAGUGUUUCAAUGUUAAAAAAAAAAAGUGAAAAAGUAUUAAAAAACAACAAUUAAACAAAAAAACCUAAAGCCUAACUUGAUUAAAGACUCCUCUCUUGCUCUUAUUACAAAGCAACAGAAAAACAACAAAAACAAUAAUUGUUUUUAUAAAUUACAAUAACAGCAACAACACAAAACAUAAACAUAAUUUACUUUUUAUAUAAUUAAAGCAUACACUUCGUUUAACAUCGUCAAGAAAAAUAAUACAAAUAAAAUCCCUGUAAAACGAGUGGAAAAUACAUAAAUUUCGAAAGAAAA